UAGUCCACGCCGUAAACGAUGAGAGCUAGUCGUCAGGGGGCAUGCCCUUUGGUGACGCAGUUAACGCAUUAAGCUCUCCGCCUGGGGAGUACGGUCGCAAGGCUAAAACUCAAAGGAAUUGACGGGGGCCCGCACAAGCGGUGGAGUAUGUGGUUUAAUUCGAAGCAACGCGCAGAACCUUACCUACCCUUAACAUUUCACGCUCGCCUCAGAGAUGAGGUUUUCUCUUCGGAGACGUGAGGAUAGGUGCUGCAUGGCUGUCGUCAGCUCGUGUCGUAAGAUGUCUGGUUAAGUCCAAUAACGAGCGCAACCCUUAUCCUUAGUUACCAGCAUUGAGUUGGGGACUCUAGGGAGACUGCCGGUGUUAAACCGGAGGAAGGCGGGGAUGACGUCAAGUCCUCAUGGCCCUUACGGGUAGGGCUACACACGUACUACAAUGGCAGAAACAAACCGAAGCGAUAUUGCGAGAUGGAGCUAAACGGUAAAACACUGUCUCAGUCCGGAUUGAAGUCUGCAA
rnacentral:rRNA from 1 species